rnacentral:rRNA from 1 species
UGGGGGAUAUUGCACAAUGGGCGAAAGCCUGAUGCAGCGACGCCGCGUGGGGGAUGAAGGCUUUCGGGUUGUAAACCUCUUUCGCUAUCGAACAAGGCCCGCUUAGGGUGGGUUGAGGGUAGGUGGAGAAGAAGCGCCGGCUAACUACGUGCCAGCAGCCGCGGUAAUACGUAGUGCGCGAGCGUUGUCCGGAAUUAUUGGGCGUAAAGGGCUUGUAGGCGGCUUGUUGCGCCUGCUGUGAAAACGCGGGGCUUAACUUCGGGCGUGAAGUGGGUACGGGCAGGCUUGAGUGUGGUAGGGGUGACUGGAAUUCCAGGUGUAGCGGUGGAAUGCGCAGAUAUCUGGAGGAACACCGAUGGCGAAGGCAGGUCACUGGGCCAUUACUGACGCUGAGGAGCGAAAGCAUGGGUAGCGAACAGG